rnacentral:rRNA from 1 species
GACUGGCUCAGGAUGAACGCUAGCUACAGGCUUAACACAUGCAAGUCGAGGGGCAGCAUGAACUUAGCUUGCUAAGUUUGAUGGCGACCGGCGCACGGGUGAGUAACACGUAUCCAACCUGCCGAUGACUCGGGGACAGCCUUUCGAAAGAAAGAUUAAUACCCGAUGGCAUAGUUCUUCCGCAUGGUGGAACUAUUAAAGAAUUUCGGUCAUCGAUGGGGAUGCGUUCCAUUAGGUUGUUGG